UCUCUUGGGCACUGGUAACCUCAGCCAGAACGGAGUCAGUCUCCCAACCUGGCUCCUUCCAGCUGCAGGGCCUGUGUGUGGACAGGGAGGUUUGUUCUCAGCUCUGUCAACAGGGGCCCGUUGGAAGUCACCACACCUUAGACAGUCUUGCCAAGGUCCCUGUAGGGGGGUGAGCAUGGAGAAGUGGCUGGCAAUGGUCAGGGGACAGGGUGGGCUCCAUCCAGGGACAUUUGUUCAGCCAAGAUCAGGGUGUCUCACCAUAAUCGGGACAGAUGAAGAGGCGUCUUUGGGGUGGGAAUCUUGUGUUUGUAAGAUCCCGAACACUCUAUUUGAAAACACAGCCAGUUGCCAUUUGACAUCCUUGGAGACUCCAGCUCAGCCACUCAGCUUGCAUAUUUAUGCAAAACAAAAUGCAAAUGAGCCCAUUGAACCCUUUGUCUAUGUCCUGCCAAGCUGGAAACCUGGGUCUCCCAACAGAGUCCCCCCCCCCACGCCUUUGUCCUCUCCAGAAGAGCUUUUCUAAGUAGGACAUGGAGUCUCUAAAAUUUUGCUACUUCAGUGAAAUUCAAACCAAUAAACAUGUUUCCUGAGCUCCUAUUAAGCGCAAAGUACCCUGUUAGACUUUAGUGAGUUUGCAAAGAAGAAAAAAUUCUCAAGUUAUGGCCCUUGAAGAAAUCGUGACAUCUUUAAUGAGACUUCCAGUUCUGUUUCUCGUGUAAUUAUUCAUUCAACAAACACCUAUGGAGUACCUGCUAUGGGCCAGCCCGAGGGAUACGACAUUGAGCAACUAUAUGAAGGUUCCUUGCCUUGUGAGCUUACAUCUAAUGAAGGAGACAGACCAAAGGAGGUAGUUCGACAUACAAGAACAACAUCAUCCCAGACUCUGAUAACUAACUGCUGGGAAGAAAAUGAACAGGGAUGUUUUAUUGUGUCAGAAAGGUGGCCUUGUUCGAUUAAAAUCAAGGUACUGUUCAAUAAGUCUUGAAUGGAUUUUCUCUGGCUGUGGACAGUGUAGUGUACUCCGGGGAUCACUAUUGUCCUGGUCACGUGAUUCUUCAAUGUCAGUCAAGCGCACCAAAGGGACAGCCUACAAAUUCGGUGAAGACUUUGAGCCCUUGAGGGAAUCUCAAGUCCAUUGGCUCAGAAUUUGUGAGACUGGCGCGUUUGCUCACGGGUAAAGUCAUCCGCGUGAUGUCCAAGAUACUUCUAUUGUGUCCCUGAUUCUGAUUAAAGAGCCAAUGCACUGCGUUCA